rnacentral:lncRNA from 1 species
GGGUCUUCAAUAAUAAGGAAAAACAUUUAUCGGUAAUUCGUAUAUUUUUCCUUUGAUCUUAAUUACUGCCUAAUGUUUUCGAGUAUCAACGUACUGGCUGUAUCACUGAAAAUAUUAGGCAAUACAUUGUGUGACGUCAUAAUUACCGAUAAACAGAAUAAUAGGUAGUUUCGUUUUUGAUACUGACUAUAUCAUGUGGAAUAUCUUAACUCGCCCUAACGGGCUCGUCUAGAUAUAGUUAGUAUUAAAAUCAGUAUUAAAAACGAAACAACCUGUUAUCCUAUAUAUAGAUCGCAAAGCAAGCUACAAAAGGUGUCUAAUAUGACAAAAUGUAAAACAAUUCAAACGAGUCAACACUGCUGGCUGGUGUAGAACUAUCAUUUCAGGAGAGUAUCAUAAAGACAACCAAAGCCUAAUCGUGAUAUGUUAGUCAAAGAGAAUAUGACAGUGGACACCACUACUAAUUGGCUGUUAGUCACAGAGAGUAUCAUAAAUGACACAACUUGUUAUAUCACGUUGGACCACAGCCUGUGUCGACAUUACCACUGUGAACUAUGAGUCCUAGAGGGAAUACGAGUCGAC